rnacentral:rRNA from 1 species
GUUAAGUGACUAAGCGUACACGGUGGAUGCCUUGGCAGUCAGAGGCGAUGAAGGACGUAGUAACUUGCGAUAAGCGUAGAUGAGGCAGUAACAGCCACUUGAGUCUACGAUUUCCGAAUGGGGAAACCCACUGGCAUAAGCCAGUAUCAUUGAGUGAAUACAUAGCUCAAUGAAGCGAACCGGGAGAACUGAAACAUCUAAGUACCCCGAGGAAAAGAAAUCAACCGAGAUUCCGAAAGUAGCGGCGAGCGAAAUUGGAUUAGCCCUUAAGCUUUACAUGUGUUAGACGAACGGUCUGGAAAGUCCGACGAUACAGGGUGAUAGUCCCGUAGUUGACGAUGCAUGUUCAGUGAAAUCGAGUAGGGCGGGACACGUGUUAUCCUGUCUGAAUAUGGGGGGACCAUCCUCCAAGGCUAAAUACUCCUGACUGACCGAUAGUGAACCAGUACCGUGAGGGAAAGGCGAAAAGAACCCCUGUGAGGGGAGUGAAAUAGAACCUGAAACCGUGUACGUACAAGCAGUAGGAGCACCUUCGUGGUGUGACUGCGUACCUUUUGUAUAAUGGGUCAGCGACUUAUAUUCAGUGGCAAGGUUAACCAUCUAGGGGAGCCGUAGGGAAACCGAGUCUUAACUGGGCGCCAUAGUCUCUGGAUAUAGACCCGAAACCGAGUGAUCUAGCCAUGGGCAGGUUGAAGGUUGAGUAACAUCAACUGGAGGACCGAACCGACUAAUGUUGAAAAAUUAGCGGAUGACUUGUGGCUAGGGGUGAAAGGCCAAUCAAACUCGGAGAUAGCUGGUUCUCCCCGAAAGCUAUUUAGGUAGCGCCUCGGACGAAUACUACUGGGGGUAGAGCACUGUUAAGGCUAGGGGGUCAUCCCGACUUACCAACCCUUUGCAAACUCCGAAUACCAGUAAGUACUAUCCGGGAGACACACGGCGGGUGCUAACGUCCGUCGUGGAGAGGGAAACAACCCAGACCGCCAGCUAAGGUCCCAAAUUACAGCUAAGUGGGAAACGAUGUGGGAAGGCUUAGACAGCUAGGAUGUUGGCUUAGAAGCAGCCAUCAUUUAAAGAAAGCGUAAUAGCUCACUAGUCGAGUCGGCCUGCGCGGAAGAUGUAACGGGGCUAAGUUGUAAACCGAAGCUGCGGCAAUGUUCUAUGAACAUUGGGUAGGGGAGCGUUCUGUAAGCCGUUGAAGGUGUGUUGUAAAGCAUGCUGGAGGUAUCAGAAGUGCGAAUGCUGACAUGAGUAACGACAAGGGGGGUGAAAAACCUCCCCGCCGGAAGACCAAGGGUUCCUGUCCAACGUUAAUCGGGGCAGGGUAAGUCGACCCCUAAGGCGAGGCUGAAAAGCGUAGUCGAUGGGAAACGGGUUAAUAUUCCCGUACUUCUUACAAUUGCGAUGGGGGGACGGAGAAGGCUAGGUGGGCCUGGCGACGGUUGUCCAGGUUCAAGUGCGUAGGCU